rnacentral:rRNA from 1 species
UAACACGUAGGGGGCAAGCGUUGUUCGGAAUUACUGGGCGUAAAGGGCAUGUAGGCGGCCUUGUAAGCCUGGCGUGAAAGUCCACAGCUCAACUGUGGGAUUGCGUCGGGAACUGCAGGGCUUGAGUCACGGAGGGGAGAGUAGAAUUCCUGGUGUAGGGGUGAAAUCUGUAGAGAUCAGGAAGAAUACCAGUGGCGAAGGCGACUCUCUGGCCGAUGACUGACGCUGAGGUGCGAAAGUGUGGGGAUCAAACAGG